AACGAACGCUGGCGGCAUGCCUAACACAUGCAAGUCGAACGCACCGCAAGGGGAGUGGCGAACGGGUGAGUAACGCGUGGGAACCUACCCAGCGGUUGGGGAUAACCGCGGGAAACUGCGGCCAAUACCGAAUACGUCCUAAGGGAGAAAGAUUUAUCGCUGUGGGAGGGGCCCGCGUCGGAUUAGCUAGUUGGUGAGGUAACGGCUCACCAAGGCGACGAUCCGUAGCUGGUCUGAGAGGAUGAUCAGCCACACUGGGACUUAGACACGGCCCAGACUGCUACGGGAGGCAGCAGUGGGGAAUAUUGGACAAUGGGGGCAAGCCUGAUCCAGCAAUGCCGCGUGAGUGUUGAAGGCCUUAGGGUUGUAAAGCUCUUUUACCGGGGACGAUGAUGACGGUACCCGGAGAAUAAGCCCCGGCUAACUUCGUGCCAGCAGCCGCGGUAA
rnacentral:rRNA from 1 species